AUCCGACCGUAGUCUUAGGUAAAACCUAUCUGUAAGGGUUUGACAAGCCUAGAUAGGUACUUAACCUCUAAAUCGAUAAGCCGUCAGUGUCCGAUGGGGUACUGAUUGUGAUGACGAUAGUAAGUCAGCAGGUGGAAACACUUUGUGCGUGGGUUAGGUAGCCUCAUAUACAUGAACGACUGAUGUAGAGUUCGGUUGGGGAGAUAAGUAUCUAAUGCGUGUCAUUAGGUCACCUCGGUAUGAUUAGUGUGAGAGCUAGGAACCGUAGGGGUGUUCUCAAAGGAAUCCUUUGCAGUGACGUCCUCGCAAGAGGACUAUAACAACAGAACUCGUAUUAGUAGCCUAAUACUGCAGCCCCUUGGGGUUUGUUGUCCAUAUAGUUUAAGAUGGAAACAUUGAAUCAAGACAUAUUUACUCUUGUUAGGUGAAAGUUGGUGGUUGCCAUGCCAGCCCGUACAUCCGAGAAGGACUCUAUGUAGUAGGAAGUCGAGAGCCUAUGAGAGUUAGAGUCGGUACGAAACAUCUAUUGUCUGCAGUGUAUAUUGGGUAGAGCUAAAAACUCUUACCUAUUUUAUUAAG
rnacentral:sRNA from 12 species